UUUUUCUUUUCUUUUUUUUUUUCCUUUUUUUUUUGUAUCCCUUUUUUAUUGCGUUUCUUUUGAAAAAUAAAUAUGCUAUGAUGCAAAUGAUGCAGACACGACUGGUUGGCUGGGUCUCUCAGAACACAGGAUCAAAACUUCGGCUUGAACUCGGAACCACAAAUUCAUCUGAAACCCAAAGUCAUCUGAGACCCCAAAAUUCUGAACCAAUAGUCACCGACAGGAUCACAAGUCACCAACAAGUCACCAACUGUACCUGUAAUAAUGAUCAUCCCCUCCCCACUCACGGG
rnacentral:lncRNA from 1 species